GGAUGAGCUGUGGAUAGGGGUGAAAGGCCAAUCAAACUACGUGAUAGCUGGUUCUCCCCGAAAUGCAUAUAGGUGCAGCGUCGCGCGUUUCUUACCGGAGGUAGAGCACUGGAUGGUCUAGGGGCCCACAAGCUUACCGAAAUCAGCCAAACUCCGAAUGCCGGUAAGUGAGAGCGCGGCAGUGAGACUGUGGGGGAUAAGCUUCAUAGUCGAGAGGGAAACAGCCCAGAACACCAGCUAAGGUCCCCAAGAGAUUGCUAAGUGGAAAAGGAUGUGGAGUUGCACAGACAACCAGGAGGUUGGCUUGGAAGCAGCCACCCUUGAAAGAGUGCGUAAUAGCUCACUGGUCAAGUGAUUCUGCGCCGACAAUUUAGCGGGGCUCAAGCAAUCCGCCGAAGCUGUGUCAUUCGUGCCAUAACCAGGCCUUCGUGGUCCAGGUGCACGGAUGGGUAGGGGAGCGUCGUGUGCGCUGUGAAGCGGCGGGGUGACCC
rnacentral:rRNA from 1 species